CUCUGGUUGUUUACAAGCCAGGCUUUGGCUAAACCCAGCUACGAGCUGGACUUUAGCCAGGAGCCUGGCUGGAAAAAUCCUCCUGUGCUG
rnacentral:pre_miRNA from 1 species